GAGUUUGAUCGUGGCUCAGGAUGAACGCUGGCGGUGUGUUUUAGGCAUGCAAGUCGAACGAUAGCCCCUUCGGGGCGAAAGUAGGCAGACGGGUGAGUAACGCGUAGGAAUCUACCCUUUGGUGGGGAAUAGCUUCGGGAAACCCGGAGGUAAUACCGCAGUAAUCCCGUAAGGGAAAAGGACAUAACUGUUCGCCGAAGGAGGAGCCUGCGUCUUAUCAGCUUGUUGGUGAAGGUAAUGGCUCACCAAGGCAAUGACGGGUAGCCGGUGUGAGAGCGACGAUCGGCCACAAGGUCACUGAGACAC
rnacentral:rRNA from 1 species